UGGGGAAUAUUGCGCAAUGGGGGAAACCCUGACGCAGCAACGCCGCGUGAAGGAAGAAGGUUUUCGGAUUGUAAACUUCUUUUGUAAGGGACGAAAAAUGACGGUACCUUAAGAAUAAGCUCCGGCUAACUACGUGCCAGCAGCCGCGGUAAUACGAAGGGGGCAAGCGUUGUUCGGAAUUACUGGGCGUAAAGCGCACGCAGGCGGCGUGACGCGUCAGAAGUGAAAUCCCCGGGCUCAACCUGGGAACUGCUUUUGAAACGGUCAUGCUUGAAUCAUGGAGAGGGUAGCGGAAUUCCGAGUGUAGAGGUGAAAUUCGUAGAUAUUCGGAAGAACACCGGUGGCGAAGGCGGCUACCUGGCCAUGUAUUGACGCUCAGGUGCGAAAGCGUGGGGAGCAAACA
rnacentral:rRNA from 1 species